rnacentral:sRNA from 1 species
UUGCACACACAAAGUUGCAGCAAACCCCCUUUGCGAAUUUCAUGAUUGUCCCCCUUGGCGGGUUGGGGCGUCGUCGCCACCCUGCGGUGGCGGUGUCCCGGCCGGCCAGCCCAAGUCCCCGGGGGCUUGGGGCUCCCUCCCUCCCGGGAAGUGAGUCUCAUCGCCCGGGACGCUUGGUGUUUCCAAACCGAUUGCGCAAUGCAUCAACACUUUCAAUAUGACUGAGUAUAAAAGAUCGGAGGGGCACUGGACUCGCGUCCGGUGCCCCCCUCGAGUUGUAAUAUAAACAAAAAACAACUCUCAGCAACGGAUAUCUUGGCUCUUGCAACGAUGAAGAACGCAGCGAAAUGCGAUACGUAGUGUGAAUUGCAGAAUUCCGCGAAUCAUCGAGUCUUUGAACGCAAGUUGCGCCCGAGGCUUGACCAAGGGCAUUUCUGCCAGAGCGUCACCGCGACACCCACCAAUCCACUCCAAGUGAGUUGGACUGAGUGAAAGUGGCCAUCCGAAUGGGGGCCCACCCGGGACUUCCGUCCUUGGGUGUGGCACGUUGGGUUGGCUGAAAUGGAGGGAAUUUGGCCGCCGUGGUGACACAGCCCGCGAUCAGGUGAUCCAGGCUCUGUCUUGGAACUCAAAUGUGCGUCGGUUGUGCCUCCCUGUUAGCAUUAGGAUUCCAAAGCAGGUCCCUCCGUGCGGGACCGCCUCUCGAGGUGGUUCCGGCGGGAGGAAAAACGUCACGCAUCAGACCUCUGAUCAGAAAAGACUACCCGCUGAGUUUAAGCAUAUCACUAAGCGGAGGAGAAGAAAC